GGGGCCCGCACAAGCGGUGGAGCAUGUGGUUUAAUUCGAAGCAACGCGAAGAACCUUACCUGGCCUUGACAUGCUGAGAACUUUCCAGAGAUGGAUUGGUGCCUUCGGGAACUCUGAGACAGGUGCUGCAUGGCUGUCGUCAGCUCGUGUUGUGAAAUGUUGGGUUAAGUCCCGCAACGAGCGCAACCCUUAUCCUUUGUUGCCAGCGGUCCGGCCGGGAACUCAAAGGAGACUGCCAGUGAUAAACUGGAGGAAGGUGGGAUGACGUCAAGUCAUCAUGGCCCUUACGAGUAGGGCUACACACGUGCUACAAUGGCGCAUACAAAGAGAAGCGAACUCGCGAGAGCAAGCGGACCUCAUAAAGUGCGUCGUAGUCCGGAUUGGAGUCUGCAACUCGACUCCAUGAAGUCGGAAUCGCUAGUAAUCGUAGAUCAGAAUGCUACGGUGAAUACGUUCCCGGGCCUU
rnacentral:rRNA from 1 species